AGUGAACGCUGGCGGUAGGCCUAACACAUGCAAGUCGAACGGCAGCACAGUAAGAGCUUGCUCUUACGGGUGGCGAGUGGCGGACGGGUGAGGAAUACAUCGGAAUCUACUUUUUCGUGGGGGAUAACGUAGGGAAACUUACGCUAAUACCGCAUACGACCUACGGGUGAAAGCAUGGGAUCUUCGGACCUUGCGCGAUUGAAUGAGCCGAUGUCGGAUUAGCUAGUUGGUGGGGUAAUGGCCCACCAAGGCGACGAUCCGUAACUGGUCUGAGAGGAUGAUCAGUCACACUGGAACUGAGACACGGUACAGACUACUACGGGAGGCAGAAGAGGGGAAUAUUGGACAAUGGGCGAAAGCCUGAUAAAGCCAUGCCGCGUGUGUGAAGAAGGUCUGCGGAUUGGAAAGCACUUUAAGUUGGGAGGAAGGGGUGUAGAUUAAGACUCUGCAAUUUUGACGUUACCGACAGAAUAAGAACCGGCUAACUCUGUG
rnacentral:rRNA from 1 species